UACGGGGGGAGCAAGCGUUGUUCGGAUUUACUGGGCGUAAAGGGCGCGUAGGCGGUCAGCACAAGUCAGUUGUGAAAUCUCCGGGCUUAACUCGGAAAGGUCAACUGAUACUGUGCGACUAGAGUGCAGAAGGGGCAACUGGAAUCCUCGGUGUAGCGGUGAAAUGCGUAGAUAUCUGGAGGAACACCGGCGGCGAAGGCGGCAUCCUGGACCGGUAUUGACGCUGAGGCGCGAAAGCUAGGGGAGCAAACGGG
rnacentral:rRNA from 1 species